rnacentral:rRNA from 1 species
CGUGGAUGAUGAAGGCCUUCGGGUCGUAAAGUCCUUUCUGAGGGAAGAAUUGUUUGGUGAGGAAAUGCACCGGAUUUGACGGUACCUCAGGAAUAAGCAACGGCUAACUCCGUGCCAGCAGCCGCGGUAAUACGGAGGUUGCAAGCGUUGUCGGAAUAACUGGGCGUAAAGGGAGCGCAGGCGGCUUGGUAAGUCUAAAGUGAAAUUCCAGGGCUCAACCCUGGACGUGCUUUGGAUACUGCCUGGCUUGAGUACGUGAGAGGAGAUUGGAAUUCCAGGUGUAGCGGUGAAAUGCGUAGAUAUCUGGAGGAACACCGGUGGCGAAAGCGGAUCUCUGGCACGUUACUGACGCUGAGGCUCGAAAGCAUGGGGAGCAAACGGGAUUAGAUACCCCGGUAGUCCAUGCCGUAAACGUUGUGCGCUAGGUGUAGGAGGUAUCGACCCCUUCUGUGCCGCAGCUAACGCAUUAAGCGCACCGCCUGGGGAGUACGGUCGCAAGACUG